GACGAACGCUGGCGGCGUGCUUAACACAUGCAAGUCGAACGAAGUGGCGAACGGGUGAGUAACGCGUAAUCAACCUGCCCUUAAGAGGGGGACAACAGUUGGAAACGACUGCUAAUACCGCAUACUGAAGGAGUGGAUUGCGGCUGAUUAGCUAGUUGGAGGGGUAACGGCCCACCAAGGCGAUGAGCAGUAGCCGGUCUGGGGGGCAUAACGGCCACAUUGGGACUUAGACCCGGCCCAGACUCCUACGGGGGGCAGCAGUUGGGAAUCUUCCGCAAUGGACGAAAGUCUGACGGAGCAACGCCGCGUGAGUGAUGACGGCCUUCGGGUUGUAAAGCUCUGUUAAUCGGGACGCGGUACCGGAAUAGAAAGCCACGGCUAACUACGUGCCAGCAGCCGCGGUAAUUC
rnacentral:rRNA from 1 species